UACGUAGGGUGCGAGCGUUAAUCGGAAUUACUGGGCGUAAAGCGUGCGCAGGCGGUUUUGUAAGACAGGGCGUGAAAAUCCCCGGGCUCAACCUGGGGAAUGGCGCUUGUGACUGCAAAGCUAGAGUGCGGCAGAGGGGGAUGGAAUUCCGGCGUGUAGCAGUGAAAUGCGUAGAUAUGCGGAGGAACACCGAUGGCGAAGGCAAUCCCCUGGGCCUGCACUGGACCGCUCCAGUGCACGAAAGCGUGGGGAGCAAACAGGA
rnacentral:rRNA from 1 species